GUAGUUGCAGAGAUGAAGUCUCCAUAAGAGGGGUAAGAUAUCAUAUAAAGCGUAUGACAAUCUGGCUUGGCAAGACCAGUUUGACAUCCAAGACAGUGAAGAGCUUAAUAGAAUGAAGGAAGAAAAUGCCAAUCUACAAGAAAAGCUGAAUGAUGCAGUAAGGAGGUUGUGGUUUCCAAGUCGCACAGCUGUCUACUUUGGCUUCCUUAAGAUGAAGCAUGACUUGCUGCAAAUGGAAUAUCAAGCUCUAAUCUACCCAAAGGCCGGAUGAGGAUAAGACCAUGGUUGUUUACGCUUCAAAUCAGCUUUGAAUGUUCUCUUUGAUAGGCUUGCUCCUCAGGGUGAGCUGCUCAAAAUGUUUCAGAAGCGUAAGAAUGAUGUUUGUCUCUUAAAGAAGCUGAGGAUGACUUUGAUUGGUCUUCAAGCUGUGCUAAGUGAUGCAGAGAAUAAGCAGGCAUCAAAUCAAUUUGUGAGCCAGUGGCUUAAUGAGUUUCGACAUGCUGUGGACUCUGCUGAAAACUUAAUGGAAGAGAUCAAUUAUGAAGCUUUGAGGAUCAAGGUGGAAGGUCAGCAUCAAAAUUUUGCAGAACCAAGCAAUUACCAGCAAGUAAGUGACCUUAACCCUGGCUUGAGUGAUGAUUUUUUCCUUAUCAUAAAGGAGAAGUUGGGAGAUACUAUUGAAACAUUGAAGGAUUUGCAAGAGCAAAUUGGUGACCUUGGAUUAAAGGAGCAUUUUGGUUCGACUAAACAAGAAACUAGAACACCUUCAACUUCUUUGGUUGAUGAUUCUGAUAUCUUUGUAGCCGUCUACUAUGACUUCCUUGAGAUGAAGCAUGACUUGCUGCAAAUGGAACAUACAGCUCUAGUGGAACCCAAAGUGGAAUUAUUCCCAUACAUGAGCGGAGCUAGAGAGGAAGCUAUGGGUUUGUCAAAGAUUGGAUUUUUAAAGGAAAGUUUUGCUGCAAUUCUCUACUGAAUAGACAGUCACUUGAAUGUGGUCGUGACUGAAAAAUCUAUGUAGUUGCAGAGAUGAAGUCUCCAUAAGAGGGGUAAGAUAUCAUAUAAAGCGUAUGACAAUCUGGCUUAAUAGAAUGAAGGAAGAAAAUGCCAAUCUACAAGAAAAGCUGAAUGAUGCAGUAAGGAGGUUGUGAUUUCCAAGUCGUACAGCUGUCUACCGUGCCUUCCUUGAGAUGAAGCAUGACUUGCUGCAAAUGGGACACCCAGCUCUAAUGUAUCCAAAGGUCGGAUGAGGACAAGACCAUGUUUAUUUACGCUUCAACUUAGUUUCCCGAGUAUAUGCAUAGUGUGAUUGAUGUUGUCUUGGUGUUCCCGAGCAUAAUAUCCGUCUGAUAAAAAGAAGAUAUUAGAUGUAUUAUUUUCUACGAACGUGCAGGUCUAAUCUAGCAAGUCUUUUUUAAUAAAAGGUCUGAGAGGUUGACAUGAUAAUCUUAUUUCAACUUCUAGAGAACUUUUAUUCGACUUCCUUUUGUAAAUUUAUCAUGUCACACUCCUAACUCACUCUUCAACU